rnacentral:rRNA from 1 species
AACGAACGCUGGCGGCAGGCCUAACACAUGCAAGUCGAACGCUGCAGCAAUGCAGAGUGGCAGACGGGUGAGUAACGCGUGGGAACCUUCCCAGUGGUACGGAAUAGCCCAGGGAAACUUGGGGUAAUACCGUAUAAGCCCCUAGGGGGAAAGAUUUAUCGCCAUUGGAUGGGCCCGCGUCGGAUUAGCUAGUUGGUGAGGUAACGGCUCACCAAGGCGACGAUCCGUAGCUGGCUGAGAGGAUGAUCAGCCACACUGGGACUGAGACACGGCCCAGACUCCUACGGGAGGCAGCAGUGGGGAAUAUUGGACAAUGGGCGAAAGCCUGAUCCAGCCAUGCCGCGUGAGUGACGAAGGCCUGCGGGUUGUAAAGCACUUUCAGUAGGGAAGAAAUGCUU